GCAACUUUUUUACCGUGGGUAUAGACACAAUUUGUUUUACCUGUUAGAACUAUUUUCAAUCCCUUCGAAACCAAAAUCCCUAAAGUUUCCUUCACUCUGAUUGAUUACUCAUUCUUCACCAUUUUUGCGUUCCAUCAAAAUCAAACCCCUAAAUCAAUUUUUCUUUCUUUACUAAACCCCUAAAUCAAUUUUUCUUUCUUUACUAAACCCCUAAUCCCUAACACCAAAUCCCUAAAUCAAUUCUCACCCCUCCGUUCAACACACUGCGCCGUCGCGAUCUCCCCUCCGUCAACGCGAGCUUAGGGCGUCGACGUUCACCCACUUCAGUGUUGGCGUUCACGGUGUGUUGUCGUUCAAUUUGUGUUUGCGUUCGUUUUCGUUCUCGGCAUUGUGCACCUUCGUUCAUCCCUCGUGUGUCGUCGUUUUUUUCUACUUCUCUGAUGGUCCGGCAGUUCGUAUCCUCUUUUCCGAUGUUGUCUUUUCUUCUCCAGGUUUGCAUCUUUGUUCAUGUUUUCGUGAUUGCUUACUUGUUGCUUAGUUAUGUACAUUUGUGUUGCUCUAUUCAGUGUAUGAUUUUUCGUUCAUCUUCUUUGUUGUUCUGAUUGAGUUUCGUUUUUCUUUGAUGCUUACUCUGGUUCGUUUCAUUUUGCUUUUACUUUCUUGUUCGUUUCAUUUUGUUGUUCAUUUUCGUUAGUUUAUGUUCAGCAUAAGUUUGAACCCAUUAGUAUAUGAUAUUUUUGCUUUUUGUUGUGGGAACUUUGAAGGAAUAAAGAUCUAAUCAAACAUACUUUACUACUUUGCUUACGUUAUUAUGGUGUGUUUUGAGCUACAACUUUAGUAUGUAGUUUGAAUUUGGAAUUUGGAAUUUGGAAUGUUGAAUUAUUUUUAUGUUAAUUCGUCUUCUAGUAAGCAUUGUGUUAUUUUCAUAGGUUCUUUUAAGCUAUUAUUUUACCAUCCAUAGACUCGUACAUGUCUAGUAUAUGAGUCAAGUCUACAGACUCUUCAUGAGUCUACAUAGACUCUUGAUUCUUGACAUCGAUGCUAAUCUUUGAAUUAAGAAGUAAGGAGGAUGAUAUUGAAAAGAUAAAGAAACUCAAUUUAUUGCUUGUGUUAUUGUAGCUGCAUAUUUUAUAUUUUUCCUAUCUGUUGUAUAUAUGCAUUAUAUUAGUUUUUUAUCUCUUCUCAUAUUUGAAUCAACUUAUUUUUCAUUUGACUUUAUAUUUGCUGCUUUUUGGUGCACGUCUUUGACAUCUCCGUCAUAUUUGCAUCUUCGUCAUUGACACACAAUCUGGUACUAUGAACUUUUCAAAUAGCUUAGAAAGUGUCUCUGAAGUUUUGAAUAUCGAAACAACAUAGUAUAGUAUAUACUUUAUGUGUUAUGUUUUGAUUGAUCGUUGAAAAUAAAAGACACUUGUGGCUUUUUACUUAUAGCUAUAUUUUAGUUUAGUUAUUUGUAAUGAUUAUUCUUUUUUUGACGGAUUGGUAAUCAUUAGCAUGUAUAUGUAUGUGGCUCUAUGAGUUUGUGGUUGAAUUGUUUUGAUAAUCAUUCUCUUGAAAUGUUACUAAUUUUGGCUAUCUACUUACAUUAAGGCCUAAUGCUAUAACUUUGUGCUUUUGACUUGUUUUUUAUACAACUAUUGGAUUUCUUGUUUUUACUUCUAAUCUUUAACAUCAUAAGGUCAACCUAGUUGUUAUUGGAGAAUGAAGAUUACUUUCACUAACAUUCAUAUAUGAAGGAAUCAAGCAAGUGAUAAUGAUGGAACACAAUUUGUUCUUACUCAUACAAACUCAACCAAUAUGCAAAGAAGAAAUGUUGCAUAACCUAGUUCUAGUCCUAAUCAUACAAAAGGUGUCACACAUGAGUAUGCAGUAGAACCUCACUCCAUUCUUUCUAAUAUAGAAGCGGAAGAGGAACCAAUUGAAAAAGUUGAGAGAUUUACAUUGAAACCCUCACUUGUGAAGAUGGGUCAAUUGUUAGUAAAAAGGCCGCAAUAGUGAUUGUAUUUGUCCUUGUUGCAUGUUUACAUACAGUACAACCAUGUAGAAGCCAUUUAUAUCCUACUAUAUCUUGCUGCAAGUGUUACUUCUCUUAUUAACAAGCUUAUAGUUCCACUCAACUGAGGCCACAUUUCAUCUUUCAUGAGCUCGCGAGAGGUAGCUUUCUUUCUUGCUUUGAAAUUUUGAGUAUGCUAUAGUACUAUGUUUUAAUAUUAAGAUGAUGCUUGACGAAAAACAAUACAUUCUUAUUUCUUAUGUUCUGUUGUGUGUCUUGAGUGAAUUUGGUAUCAUAGGUUCUGUAUUACUCAUUAGUUAGAAGUAUAAAAAUUCAGCUGAUUGGACUAUUGUAUUAAGUCAGCUGACUUUGUACUUUAUAGAAGCAACUUAGUUGUUAAUUGCUUACAUUUACACUAAUACAUAUUUAAUUUUAAGCUCUUCAGGCCAUUUCGACGUCUCCUCAGGGAAAGCUCUGCAAAGCCAUCAAGUCCAUUGAUAUUAAUCAUAAAACCAAGUGACUCAAGUAUUUCACUGUGAUCUAGAUCAAUAAUUGAUAAUCACAUUUCAAAAUUCUCCCACAUUUUUUUUGAACAAGAAACCCAACAAUCUUGGGAAAUGGAAAAAUUAUAUAUAAUUUGAUAGAGGAAAAAUGAAAGAUUAGAUAUAAUUUGAUGGAGGAAAAAUCCUCCUACCUACUUGUGUUAUUAUAUGAGAAUACAUAAUUAAUUGUUUGAUUGUACACUUUUACAGGUCAAUAAACAAGACAAAAAUUAUCCAGGUUAAUUGUUUGAUUGUACAUUCCUUAUUUGUACUUUCUAGGGAAUGUUAGUAGGAAAUCGAGCACGAACAUUAGCAGGAAAUUGAGCACUCGCUAGGCUAUGGAGUUUGUUGGCGAACUUUGUUGCAAAAAGUGUCAUUAAGUGCUGGGAGAACAAUUUUGAAUAAUGGAAGCUUUUCUAGUGAAGCAGUUGAAUUAUGAGUAUUAGAUGAGAUUUCAUAUUCUAGGAUACUAGCAUUUGUUGUGUUGUCAAAAGUUCAAAGGCUAGCACAAAACCACCCUCAACAUUUGAUGAUGUAAAUUCAAUGUUCGGAUCUUUGAUUUGAGAUUCUAAAUUCAAAGAAGCUUCUACAUUUGAUGAUGUAAAUGAUCUUUGAUUUGAGAUUCUUAAUUCAUGGGUAUAUACUAAUGUUGAUUAAAGCAAA